rnacentral:rRNA from 1 species
GACGAACGCUGGCGGCGUGCUUAACACAUGCAAGUCGAACGGAAAGGCCCCUUUGGGGGUCCUCGAGUGGCGAACGGGUGCGUAACACUUGAGUAACCUUCCCUUGACUUCGGGAUAACUUCAGGAAACUGGGGCUAAUACCGGAUAGGAAUCCUUUCUUCAUCGUGGGGGUUGGAAAGCUUCGGCGGUCUUGGCUGUACUCUCUGCUUAUCAGCUUGUUGGUGUGGUUGUGGCUUACCAAGGCUGUGACGGGUAGCCGGCCUGCGGGGGCGACCGGCCACAUUGGGACUGAGAGAAGGCCCAGACUCCGACGGGAGGGAGCAGUGGGGAAGAUUGAACAAUGGGCGGAAGGCGGAUGAAGCAACGCUGCGGGCGGGAUGACGGUCUUCGGGUUGUAAACCGAUUUCAGAAGGGGCGAAGCUUGUGGUGACGGUACCUGCAGAAGAAGCAACGGCUAACUACGUG